rnacentral:lncRNA from 1 species
GGAUGUGAGGCUGGAGAAGUUGACAAGGAUCAUGUCCAAGGAAAAGUCAAACUUGAACAAAAAGAGGAACAUCUCUUCUGGUGAGACUGGAGAAAAGGAUUUAAGGAAUAACUGACCUCAAAUUUGUAACCGUUCUGCUUUUUGCCACCCAACAUACUCUGCAGUGACUCUCAAACCUGUACCUGAGGAAAGUGGUCCACUCCCACCAGUGAGAAGACUCACAGAGCAGCAGGGAUUCUUAGCUAGAGGGCAUAGCCAUUGAAGGAGAUGAAAACGGAAUCUCCUGGAAUGUGUGUGAUUUCAAAAAGCUCCCCAGGACCUCAAGAAGGAUUUGAAGAAACUAAAUAUUUUUACCAGCAAAAUAAUUCACAGCACACAAAUGAUUGCACAGAAUUUCAGUGCUUUCAGAAAUCCUCUGGAAACCUUUUUGUGAAUGCCAGACUUUACCAAGCAGACGCUGCUGGAAAAACAAGAACUUUGCUUGUCUGCUGUUAAGAUGCCAGAAAAAUGAUGAAAAGAGCACAGAGAAGAAUAACAAAGUAGUGAAAUGUGAAACCGGAGUUUGAACCUCAGCAGUUUGACUCCAACUCCGUGAGUAUUCAGCUAUUAAAUACAAUUGUUCAAAAUGGUAGCUACUAGCCACAUGCUAUAAUUUAAAUGUAAAUUAAUUAACAUUUUAAAGAAAU